rnacentral:pre_miRNA from 1 species
AGUGGGAUUGCUGGAUCAUAUGGUCAUUCUGUUAAUUUUUUGAGGAAUCUCCCCACUUUUCUCAUAGCUGCUGUACCACUUUGCAUUUCCACCAACAGC